CAGCAGCCACGGGAAUACGUAGGGUGCGAGCGUUAAUCGGAAUUACUGGGCGUAAAGCGUGCGCAGGCGGUUGUGUAAGACAGGUGUGAAAUCCCCGGGCUUAACCUGGGAACUGCGCUUGUGACUGCACAGCUAGAGUAUGGCAGAGGGGGGUGGAAUUCCACGUGUAGCAGUGAAAUGCGUAGAGAUAUGGAGGAACACCGAUGGCGAAGGCAGCCCCCUGGGCCAAUACUGACGCUCAUGCACGAAAGCGUGGGGAGCAAACAGGAUUAGAUACCCGCGUAGUCCCUGUCUCUUAUAC
rnacentral:rRNA from 1 species